CGGCGUGCCUAAUACAUGCAAGUCGAACGGUCUUUCUAUGGAAGCUUGCUUCCACUGAGAAGAUAGUGGCGAACGGGUGAGUAACACUGGGUAACCUGCCCAUAAGAGGGGGAUAACAUCCGGAAACGGGUGCUAAUACCGCAUAGUUUUCUUGAUCGCAUGAUCGGGAAAGGAAAGACGGCCUUUGUGCUGUCGCUUAUGGAUGGACCCGCGGCGUAUUAGUUAGUUGGUGAGGUAACGGCUCACCAAGACGAUGAUACGUAGCCGACCUGAGAGGGUGAUCGGCCACAUUGGGACUGAGACACGGCCCAAACUCCUACGGGAGGCAGCAGUAGGGAAUCUUCCGCAAUGGACGAAAGUCUGACGGAGCAACGCCGCGUGAGUGAAGAAAGGUUUUCGGAUCGUAAAACUCUGUUGUCAGAGAAGAACAAGUUGGAGAGUAACUGCUCCAGCCUUGACGGUAUCUGACCAGAAAGCCACGGCUAACUACGUGCCAGCCGCCGC
rnacentral:rRNA from 1 species